UACAGAGGGGGGCGAGCGUUUGUUCGGAAUUACUGGGCGUAAAGGGCGCGUAGGCGGCCCCGCUAAGUCGAACGUGAAAAUCCCCCAGGCUCAACCUGGGAACUGCGUCCGAUACUGGCAGGCUUGAAUCCGGGAGAGGGAUGUGGAAUUCCAGGUGUAGCGGUGAAAAUGCGUAGAUAUCGGGAGGAACAUCAGUGGCGAAGGCGGCCUUCUGGUCCAGUACUGACACUCAAGUGCGAAAGCGUGGGGAGCAAACAGG
rnacentral:rRNA from 1 species